UACGUAGGGGGCAAACGUUGUCCGGAUUUACUGGGUGUAAAGGGUGCUCAGGCGGUCUUGUAAGUCAGAAGUGAAAUCCUAGGGCUUAACCCUGGAACUGCUUUUGAUACUACAAGGCUUGAAUAUGGAAGAGGAGGAUGGAAUUUCUGGUGUAGCAGUGAAAUGCGUAGAUAUCAGAAAGAACACCAGUGGCGAAGGCGGUCCUCUGGUCCAUUAUUGACGCUAAAGCACGAAAGCGUGGGGAGCAAACAGG
rnacentral:rRNA from 1 species